rnacentral:rRNA from 1 species
UACGGAAGGCAGCAGUGGGGAAUAUUGCACAAUGGGCGAAAGCCUGAUGCAGCUAUGCCGCGUGUAUGAAGAAGGCCUUAGGGUUGUAAAGUACUUUUCAUCGGGGAGGAAAAACAAAACUAAUAAUUUUAUUUCUUGACGUUACCCGAAAAAGAAGCACCGGCUAACUCCGUGCCAGCAGCCGCGGUAAUACGGAGGGUGCUAGCGUUAAUCAGAAUUACUGGGCGUAAAGAGCACGUAGGUGGUUUUUUUAAGUCAGAUGUGAAAUCCCUGGGCUUAACCUGGAACUGCAUUUUGAAACUGAAAUACUAGAGUAUCGUAGAGGGAGGUAGAAUUCUAGGUGUAGCGGUGAAAUGCGUAGAUAUCUGGAGGAAUACCUGUGGCGAAAGCGGCCUCCUAAACGAAUACUGACACUGAGGUGCGAAAGCGUGGGGAGCAAACGAGGGAUUAGAUACCCGU